UAACUUGUUGAGUUUAUGCAUUAUGUAGUAGUUAGGUGAAGUUGCAAACCUAUGCUCAGGCUUGCAUACACUUGUAAAAAUAUGUGUCUGUGUAUACAUAUUCUUUUUUGGGGAUUGAAUUAGAGAAAGAGUUUACAAGUUUUUGGACAUGCGCUUUAUAGGCAUAUGGUACCUACUCUACUACAUAACUCCCAAUUUUAGACUCAAUAAUUUGUUUAAAGUCAGAAGACGCAUGGAAAAAAAAAAAAAAAAAA